rnacentral:lncRNA from 1 species
AUUUUUCUUUGCCAUGUGUUGCUAAAAAUGCAGCAAACAACAACAACAAACAAUUCCACAAAGUGGAUCUGCAAGGAGUAUAAUGUACAAAGAUCUUAUCCCUAUAUAGGUUCAAAUUUGGCAAUCACGACCAUUAUCGAGUAGGACAAGGAACGAGGUUAUCGUGAUGCACCGUCUGUUGGUCGUCACAGUGAAGGCCAAAGACCAAGGGCGGUCAGUCAAUACACGGCGUCCAUAAUAGUGUAAACUUAGUAGGAGACAGUAAGAAUAUCCCUUUCGAAUAUUUUCUAUGUUUUACCUUUUAGGGUUUCUUGGGAGAUUGUCCAUUAUGAAUAGGAAGAGUGCGCAAAGAAAGAGGGAACCGAACAAAAAAGACAAAAGAACACUUUGUAAAAGAAUCAUCUGAGUGUGAAUACAAAAGACGCCUUGUUCAUUGAAUGCACAAAAAGUUUAUACCAUUACAUAAUAUAGAGAAGAUCAAAAGAUUUCUCCAUCAUCCCAUGUUUAUUGCUUCUCUAUGCCGAUUGC